CGGCGGCCGCCGCCUACCCUACAAGCCACUUGACCUAUACCUCUAUACAAUCUCUCCUUGUCGUUGUAUUGCCUUGUUUGUGUCGCCUACCACCCCGCGCUUCAUUUUGCUCUCAUUAUCGACGACUACAUUUUAUUGUUUGCAAUCAAGAUGGUCAGAUAUGGCUAGGUAUACAUUUGAGACCAUGGAGCAUCAUCGUAGACGUGGAACAUUCAACCGUCCGCCCAUGCACGGAAUUUGGGCUCACAGGGUA
rnacentral:lncRNA from 7 species